AUGCUGGAGGUAUCAGAAGUGCGAAUGCUGACAUAAGUAACGAUAAAGCGGGUGAAAAGCCCGCUCGCCGGAAGACCAAGGGUUCCUGUCCAACGUUAAUCGGGGCAGGGUGAGUCGACCCCUAAGGCGAGGCCGAAAGGCGUAGUCGAUGGGAAACAGGUUAAUAUUCCUGUACUUGGUGUUACUGCGAAGGGGGGACGGAGAAGGCUAUGUUAGCCGGGCGACGGUUGUCCCGGUUUAAGCAUGUAGGCUGGUUAUCCAGGCAAAUCCGGAUAAUCAAGGCUGAGGUGUGAUGACGAGGCACUACGGUGCUGAAGUAACAAAUGCCCUGCUUCCAGGAAAAGCCUCUAAGCAUCAGGUAACAUCAAAUCGUACCCCAAACCGACACAGGUGGUCAGGUAGAGAAUACCAAGGCGCUUGAGAGAACUCGGGUGAAGGAACUAGGCAAAAUGGUGCCGUAACUUCGGGAGAAGGCACGCUGGUGUGUAGGUGAAGUCCCUGCGGAUGGAGCUGAGACCAGUCGAAGAUACCAGCUGGCUGCAACUGUUUAUUAAAAACACAGCACUGUGCAAACACGAAAGUGGACGUAUACGGUGUGACGCCUGCCCGGUGCCGGAAGGUUAAUUGAUGGGGUUAUCCGUAAGGAGAAGCUCUUGAUCGAAGCCCCGGUAAACGGCGGCCGUAACUAUAACGGUCCUAAGGUAGCGAAAUUCCUUGUCGGGUAAGUUCCGACCUGCACGAAUGGCGUAAUGAUGGCCAGGCUGUCUCCACCCGAGACUCAGUGAAAUUGAACUCGCUGUGAAGAUGCAGUGUACCCGCGGCAAGACGGAAAGACCCCGUGAACCUUUACUAUAGCUUGACACUGAACAUUGAGCCUUGAUGUGUAGGAUAGGUGGGAGGCUUUGAAGCGUGGACGCCAGUCUGCGUGGAGCCAACCUUGAAAUACCACCCUUUAAUGUUUGAUGUUCUAACGUUGGCCCCUUACCGGGGUUGCGGACAGUGUCUGGUGGGUAGUUUGACUGGGGCGGUCUCCUCCCAAAGCGUAACGGAGGAGCACGAAGGUUAGCUAAUCCUGGUCGGACAUCAGGAGGUUAGUGCAAUGGCAUAAGCUAGCUUGACUGCGAGCGUGACGGCGCGAGCAGGUGCGAAAGCAGGUCAUAGUGAUCCGGUGGUUCUGAAUGGAAGGGCCAUCGCUCAACGGAUAAAAGGUACUCCGGGGAUAACAGGCUGAUACCGCCCAAGAGUUCAUAUCGACGGCGGUGUUUGGCACCUCGAUGUCGGCUCAUCACAUCCUGGGGCUGAAGUAGGUCCCAAGGGUAUGGCUGUUCGCCAUUUAAAGUGGUACGCGAGCUGGGUUUAGAACGUCGUGAGACAGUUCGGUCCCUAUCUGCCGUGGGCGCUGGAGAAUUGAGGGGGGCUGCUCCUAGUACGAGAGGACCGGAGUGGACGCAUCACUGGUGUUCGGGUUGUCAUGCCAAUGGCACUGCCCGGUAGCUAAAUGCGGAAGAGAUAAGUGCUGAAAGCAUCUAAGCACGAAACUUGCCCCGAGAUGAGUUCUCCCUGAGACUU
rnacentral:rRNA from 1 species